AUUGAACGCUGGCGGCAGGCCUAACACAUGCAAGUCGAGCGGAUGAAGGGAGCUUGCUCCUGGAUUCAGCGGCGGACGGGUGAGUAAUGCCUAGGAAUCUGCCUGGUAGUGGGGGAUAACGUCCGGAAACGGCGCUAAUACCGCAUACGUCCUGAGGGAGCAAGUGGGGGAUCUUCGGACCUCACGCUAUCAGAUGAGCCUAGGUCGGAUUAGCUAGUUGGUGGGGUAAAGGCCUACCAAGGCGACGAUCCGUAACUGGUCUGAGAGGAUGAUCAGUCACACUGGAACUGAGACACGGUCCAGACUCCUACGGGAGGCAGCAGUGGGGAAUAUUGGACAAUGGGCGAAAGCCUGAUCCAGCCAUGCCGCGUGUGUGAAGAAGGUCUUCGGAUUGUAAAGCACUUUAAGUUGGGAGGAAGGGCAGUAAGUUAAUACCUUGCUGUUUUGACGUUACCAACAGAAUAAGCACCGGCUAACUUCGUG
rnacentral:rRNA from 1 species